rnacentral:lncRNA from 1 species
GUAUCCCGUGUGUUUUUUAGAUGGAACUAAAGCUAAAACUACGUUAACUGAUCAGCAACUGAUGACUCUUGCAAAGAAGAUGGGUAAAGAUUGGAAAGAAAUUGGCAUUGAAUGUCUUAAGUUAGAAAUGAAAGAUAUUCAGCAGAUUCAGGCAAAAGAAGAAGAGGUUAAUGUUCAUAAAUUCCUGAUGUUGGAGAAGUGGAGGAAAGGUGAAAAAAGUAAUGGAACUGCGCAAAAUUUGUAUGACAGUCUCAAGGAUCAUGUGUCAUAUGAAAUAAUACAAAUACUGGAAGGGUUUUUGUAGCAGACAUGAGUUCAUGGAGAAACAGCUAAAAGGAGAACUCUCAGGGACAUUCAACUGCAUAAUGGUUUAAACUUUUCAUAUUGUUAAAUGUGAUUUAAUUGUGGACUCUCUCUACAGUUUGGAACUCAGGAGACCAGUUAUGAAGAUACAAGCCAUAAACAAUCUUUGGAAAAGUUUAGACAAAACAUUAUUUUGGGAAAGAAUGUGAAUUGAAUUUUGCGCCAAUGUAAAUGAAUUUAACAUUUUCAGGAGUAAUUAUUCAAAUGUUUGGAUACCAGUCAUAUUAACAAUAUAGUUGUCACUGAAGCAGCAAUCUUAAUGCAAUUUGAAUCUCCCACUGACUUCAUGUCUCCUUUGAACCAUUCCUGCUAGGUGCUGAGCAACUCAUGUGAGCUGUCUUAACCCACCCUUGAAAACAGCUCACCCUUUCCAACUAUUUGACAAUGUUAAGCAUUUUUAUCCAGUUGCAUGGGUGAUUUCCACAGAGAUUAGAAAUGGCUUGAGGGGCUCAUUAAUGUACCUCUCAUCAUCACCUAUAAAAUAAUACUACCAAUUUCACUGGGUACAAAACAUUUCUCUGUACAUACAUUGAGAGGCUCAGGCUGGGUUGCCAUGUCAAUGGUACAUAAACCCUUCGUGGUAAUGCAAUUACAUGAUCAUUGUGUGUGUUUGUAUAUACCGCCUUUUUGUUAGGCUGGUUUUAUG